GGCUUGGAUUCUGUAAAUGGCACUGGAAGAAUUCACGGGGAAUUUUAAGCAACAAGCCCGUGGAGCUCCCGUGUCAUACACAGCGUCCGGCC
rnacentral:pre_miRNA from 1 species